GAGUUCCCGUACGAUCAGUGAGGUUAAGCAACGUCGAGCCUGGUCAGUACCUAGAUUGGUGACUGCUUGGAAAUACCAGGUGCUGUAAA